CAAAAGUUGUGCACGCCUGAGCGCGUCCUCUCACAUAACAUCCAUCUCACCCUUUUGUGCACCACCGCGUGGGCACCCUUUGGGAUCGAACCGAUCCGGGAGGGGGCUUGCGUUUUCACACAAACCCCUUUUAAAAAAAGUGUAGAAUGUCCCCAUUUUGCGAUGACACGCAAUCAAUACAACUUUCAACAACGGAUCUCUUGGCUCUCGCAUCGAUGAAGAACGCAGCGAAAUGCGAUACGUAAUGUGAAUUGCAGAAUUCAGUGAAUCAUCGAAUCUUUGAACGCACCUUGCGCCCCUUGGUAUUCCGAGGGGCACACCCGUUUGAGUGUCGUGAAAAUCUCAACCUUCUCGGUUUUCUUCUGGACACUGAAGGAGGCUUGGACUUUGGAGGCCUUUGCUGGCAUCUCUCUCUUUUUGAGAGCCAGCUCCUCUUAAAUGAAUUAGCGGGGUCCUCUUUGCCGAUCCUCGACAUGUGAUAAGAUGUUUCCAUGACUUGGUUUCUGGCUCUGUUGCCUUUGGGACCUGCUUCUAACCGUCUCAAACGAGACAACGGUUUGGGUGUGUCUCCCUCCUCGGGGAAACACUCUCAACCCCACUGACC
rnacentral:rRNA from 1 species